UCUCCGUAGGUGAACCUGCGGAGGGAUCAUUACAGAGUUCAUGCCCUACCGGGUAGAUCUCCCACCCUAUGUUAUUAUUACUUUGUUGCUUUGGCGGGCCGUUAGGCUCCGGCCCGACUACCGGCCCCGGCUGGUAAGCGCCCGCCAGAGGACCCAAAACCCUGAAUAUUAGUGUCGUCUGAGUACUAUAUAAUAGUUAAAACUCUCAACAACGGAUCUCUUGGUUCUG
rnacentral:misc_RNA from 1 species